rnacentral:misc_RNA from 1 species
UAAUACAAAACUACAUAUCCAAAUUUGCCAGUUACCUUAAUCUCACUGCUAAUGAUUGAGAUUACAACCUAGGAGGGAUGAACUGGCGACAUCUUGUUGGGUAGCUUAAAUCAAGUCAUUCGAAACCCCCAACAAAAUUUUUCUAAAUUAAAACAUCCUUUGAAGUGAGUUUGCUGAUACCUUUGUAAAUGAUUUCGUCAAGACUGUGAAGAGACUUGUGGAAGCUAUAAAUCAAAAUGAGCUCAAGGCUAUGUUUCUUCACUGAUUCUCUUAUUCUUCCUCAGUUUUCUUUCCCAAAUUUCUGCUAAUCCAGAACGACAAUG